AGGCAGAACUGAGCCACGGGGAGAACUCGAGGCCACGGUGAUGUCCCUCGACCCCCUCAGCUGUGCUGGGAUGGGGAAGGUUUCUCGCAAUAACGCUUCAAGUGAAGGAAGGCGGUGGAAGCACUUAUCUGCUAAUGCAUCUUGUCUCCUGUGGUUCAGUACCUAGAAGUGCUCACACAUUGUCACCCUCCUCUCCCUGCUCGUCUGGAGUUGGGCGCAGCUGCGCUAUGGCCCCCCCUGUCCCAGAUUUCAGCUGCAGGGCCGAGCUCAACUUUUCCUUCAUAGGCCUGAGCGUCCUUGCUCCAGUAAUGUCCUCCUCCCACCUACCCUGAUUGUACCUAUCCCUGAAGGCAGUGACGACCCCAUCCUACAGUGACUACUCCUCCC
rnacentral:lncRNA from 1 species